rnacentral:rRNA from 1 species
UGGGGAAUUUUGGACAAUGGGCGAAAGCCUGAUCCAGCAAUGCCGCGUGUGUGAAGAAGGCCUUCGGGUUGUAAAGCACUUUUGUCCGGAAAGAAAUCCUUGGCUCUAAUACAGUCGGGGGAUGACGGUACCGGAAGAAUAAGCACCGGCUAACUACGUGCCAGCAGCCGCGGUAAUACGUAGGGUGCAAGCGUUAAUCGGAAUUACUGGGCGUAAAGCGUGCGCAGGCGGUUUGCUAAGACCGAUGUGAAAUCCCCGGGCUCAACCUGGGAACUGCAUUGGUGACUGGCAGGCUAGAGUAUGGCAGAGGGGGGUAGAAUUCCACGUGUAGCAGUGAAAUGCGUAGAGAUGUGGAGGAAUACCGAUGGCGAAGGCAGCCCCCUGGGCCAAUACUGACGCUCAUGCACGAAAGCGUGGGGAGCAAACAGGAUUAGAUACCCUGGUAGUCCGCGCCCUAAACGAUGUCAACUAGUUGUUGGGGAUUCAUUUCCUUAGUAACGUAGCUAACGCGUGAAGUUGACCGCCUGGGGAGUACGGUCGCAAGAUUAAAACUCAAAGGAAUUGACGGGGUCAUAGCUGUUUCCU